rnacentral:rRNA from 1 species
CAGCUUGCUGCUUCGCUGACGAGUGGCGGACGGGUGAGUAAUGUCUGGGAAACUGCCUGAUGGAGGGGGAUAACUACUGGAAACGGUAGCUAAUACCGCAUAACGUCGCAAGACCAAAGAGGGGGACCUUCGGGCCUCUUGCCAUCGGAUGUGCCCAGAUGGGAUUAGCUAGUAGGUGGGGUAACGGCUCACCUAGGCGACGAUCCCUAGCUGGUCUGAGAGGAUGACCAGCCACACUGGAACUGAGACACGGUCCAGACUCCUACGGGAGGCAGCAGUGGGGAAUAUUGCACAAUGGGCGCAAGCCUGAUGCAGCCAUGCCGCGUGUAUGAAGAAGGCCUUCGGGUUGUAAAGUACUUUCAGCGGGGAGGAAGGGAGUAAAGUUAAUACCUUUGCUCAUUGACGUUACCCGCAGAAGAAGCACCGGCUAACUCCGUGCCAGCAGCCGCGGUAAUACGGAGGGUGCAAGCGUUAAUCGGAAUUACUGGGCGUAAAGCGCACGCAGGCGGUUUGUUAAGUCAGAUGUGAAAUCCCCGGGCUCAACCUGGGAACUGCAUCUGAUACUGGCAAGCUUGAGUCUCGUAGAGGGGGGGUAGAAUU